CCUACGGGUGGCAGCAGUGGGGAAUAUUGGACAAUGGGGGGAACCCUGAUCCAGCCAUGCCGCGUGUGUGAAGAAGGCCCUCGGGUUGUAAAGCACUUUCAGUGAGGAAGAACGCCUGGUGGUUAAUACCCAUCAGGAAAGACAUCACUCACAGAAGAAGCACCGGCUAACUCCGUGCCAGCAGCCGCGGUAAUACGGAGGGUGCGAGCGUUAAUCGGAAUUACUGGGCGUAAAGCGCGCGUAGGUGGCUUGAUAAGCUGGUUGUGAAAGCCCCGGGCUCAACCUGGGAACGGCAUCCGGAACUGUCAAGCUAGAGUGCAGGAGAGGAAGGUAGAAUUCCCGGUGUAGCGGUGAAAUGCGUAGAGAUCGGGAGGAAUACCAGUGGCGAAGGCGGCCUUCUGGACUGACACUGACACUGAGGUGCGAAAGCGUGGGUAGCAAACAGGAUUAGAUACCCUGGUAGUC
rnacentral:rRNA from 1 species